GAGCCACAGCGCCACUCCUGGCUUUUUCUGUGUAUGUGGUGCUGAGGAAUCGAACCCAGGGCUUCAAGCAUGCUGGGAGAGCACUCUACGGCCAAGCCACGUUCCCAGGCCUGGCUCAGAGUGUUUCCUAUCUCUGCGAGCCCC